ACAGUUGCCUGUCCAAAUCCACUGUGAGGGAGGUGUUUAGGCAGUGAUAAAUAGGACUAAAGCUGGCAAAUUGAACCUAAGUCAACAAAGAUUUGUAGUCAUAAAAAAGGGAAAUGUGAAAGCAGUCUGUAUAAAGAGGAGGUGGCCUGGGAAGGUUUAUGUUAGUCUCUACUACUCUACCUGAUUCUGAUAGGACACAGCUAAACUACAGUGUCUGGUAUUGAUAGCCUCAUUAUGGAGGAUACAGAUUAUUUUGGGGUCCAAAAGUAAAGAGAAUUACAACAAAAAAAUGUGCAGUUUUCCAUUUAAAAUAGGUGAAUCUAGCAGAAGAGAGGGUAGUAACUAAUGAAUAAAUACAAAUUGAUACCAAGGUGAUAAGCUUUUCUCCUUGACCGCUUGUUGAGAAAAAUCACAGGGAACAGAAUAAAUUUAACCUAAGAAAGAGGGCCUAAGAAAGCAAUGACAGCACAAACAGUAAAACCUUGGAAUCAGUUGUCUGAGACACAGCAUCCCUACCACUAGGGUUCUUAAGGACAAAUCAAACAUCUGUCAUGUGCACUUCAGUGUAAUUGAUUCUGCUGUACAGUGGAGAGAUGAACUAAGAUGACAUUUUAGGAUAACUUCUAGUAUUCUUUUCUCUGUUGUUUGUGGGUUCCUCCCCCAGGUAUACUGAAUUGUUAUUCAUAAAUGCUGCUUGAUUGACUAAUAUCUUGUUUUAUUAAAGAACAACAUCAAAACUGCAACCGAAAAUCUGCUUAAAAAAAAAAAGAACCAGAAUUAAUCUCGAGGAAGCUAACCUUGGAAGAAAGCCAGAGAGAAACAGAACGGAAGUAUACAAAUACGAAGAACUGAAAGAAUAAUUUUUAGAAAAGAAAGAUGAAGAGAGAUAAGACAAAAGAGCCACUCAGCAGUCAAUCAAAACUACUGGAAAACUCAGAGAGGACACGGAAUUUCUGGAGAGUGAGCAGGAAAUACUAAAUGCAGAGACAGCUCUCACAACGAAAAUUCAACAAGGAGAAGAAAAGACCGGUGGGUGAUAGUAAUACCAGGCUGCAAGCACGACCGACUUCUCUGCUUGACAAAAAAAUCGAGGAUGAUCAGGGUAAGAUACACUAAAAUUUAUCUUUUCUCUUCUUUUUUUCCCCUUUUUAAAUGCCCAGAAUACUUCA